GCUGGGUAUGGUGGCGUAUGCCUGUAAUCCCAGAAUCUCAGGAGGCUGUGGCAGGAGGAUUGUGAGUUCAAAGCCAGCAUCAGCAAAAGUGAGGCCCUAAACAAUUGAGUGAGACCCUGUCUCUA
rnacentral:sRNA from 1 species